GUCCCCAUCGUCUAGAGGCCUAGGACACCGGGUUUUCAUCCCGGCAACAGGGGUUCGAAUCCCCUUGGGGAUGCCA
rnacentral:tRNA from 8 species